rnacentral:rRNA from 1 species
ACCCCCGCACAAGCGGCGGAGCAUGCGGCUUAAUUCGAUGAUACGCGCAGAACCUUACCAACACUUGACAUGUUCGUCGCGACUCUAAGAGAUUAGAGUUUUCGGUUCGGCCGGACGAAACACAGGUGCUGCAUGGCUGUCGUCAGCUCGUGUCGUGAGAUGUUGGGUUAAGUCCCGCAACGAGCGCAACCCUCACUUUUAGUUGCCAUCAUUAAGUUGGGCACUCUGAAAGAACUGCCAGUGAUAAGCUGGAGGAAGGUGGGGAUGACGUCAAGUCCUCAUGGCCCUUACGUGUUGGGCUACACACGUGCUACAAUGGUAUCUACAACAGGAAGCAAGACUGCGAAGUUUAGCAAAUCCUUAAAAGAUACCUCAGUUCGGAUUGCACUCUGCAACUCGAGUGCAUGAAGCUGGAAUUACUAGUAAUCGU